CCAAGCUACAAAGAGCCAACGGUGGAUGCCUUGGCGUCUACUACCGAUGAAGGACGUGGUUAGCUGCGAUAAGCCACGGGGAACCGCUAAACAGGUUUUGAUCCGUGGAUGUCCGAAUGGGGAAACCCGGCAGCCGUCAUGGGCUGUCACUCCGGUCUGAAUAAAAUAGGACCGGUAGAGGGAACUGGGUGAACUGAAACAUCUAAGUAACCCGAGGAACGGAAAGCAACAGCGACUCCCUGAGUAGCGGCGAGCGAAACGGGAAGAGCCUAAACCGAGCUGGUGUCAAAGCCUAGAGGCGUUGCCAGUUCGGGGUCGUGGGACCCGAUAGAGAGAGCUCUAGAUCUCUCACAGAGUUACAAAGUUGUGUUGAUAGCGGAACGGUUUUGGAACGUCCGGCCAUAGCGGGUAAGAGCCCCGUACGCGAAAUCUCACAACCUCUGAUCGGUGCUCCCGAGUAGCGCCGGGACCGUGAAAACUGGCGUGAAUCUGCGAGGACCACCUCGUAAGGCUAAGUAUACGUAGACGACCGAUAGCGAACUAGUACCGUGAGGGAAAGGUGAAAAGCACCCCGGGAGGGGAGUGAAAUAGUACCUGAAACCGUUGGUUUACAAUCAGUCAAAGCGUCGUCACGCGACUUGUCGCGUGGCCGCGAUGGCGUGCCUUUUGAAGAAUGAGCCAACGAGUUACGGUGUGUGGCGAGGUUAACCCGUGAGGGGAAGCCGGAGCGAAAGCGAGUCUGAACAGGGCGUUCAGUCGCAUGCUGUAGACCCGAAGCCGAGUGAUCUAUCCAUGGGCAGGUUGAAGCGGGGGUAAGACCCCGUGGAGGACCGAACCCACCUAGGUUGAAAACUGGGGGGAUGACCUGUGGAUAGGGGUGAAAGGCCAAGCAAACUCGGUGAUAGCUGGUUCUCCCCGAAAUGCAUUUAGGUGCAGCGUCGGGCGUUCAGCAAUGGAGGUAGAGCACUGAAUGGGUUAGGGGGCCUACACGCUUACCGACCCCAAUCAAACUCCGAAUGCCAUUGCUCUAGAGCCCGGCAGUGAGACCAUGGGGGAUGAGCUUCAUGGUCGAGAGGGAAACAGCCCAGAUCGCCGGCUAAGGCCCCUAAUUCUGGACUAAGUGGAAAACGAUGUGAGAUUGCUAAGACAGCCAGGAGGUUGGCUUAGAAGCAGCCACCCUUGAAAGAGUGCGUAACAGCUCACUGGUCGAGUGAUCUUGCGCGGAUAAUGUAACGGGGCUCAAGUCCAGAGCCGAAGCCGCGGACUUCUACGCAAGUAGGAGUGGUAGGGGAGCGUCGAUCGUGCCGUGAAGCGGCCGUGGAAACGGUCGUGGAGCGCGGUCGAGUGAGAAUGUUGGCAUGAGUAGCGAGAGAGGGGUGAGAAACCCCUCCGCCGAAAUCCCAAGGGUUCCCGGGGAAGGCUAAUCCGCCCGGGGUAAGUCGGGAGCUAAGGCGAGGCCGAGAGGCGUAGUCGAUGCACAACCGGUUGAUAUUCCGGUACCGCCGUGUCCGCGUCCAGCCCAAUCCCAGGUACUAAGGGGCUGUUGGAUUCGUCCAACGAACCGACCAACUGGGGGCGGGUAACUGAUGGGGGACGCAGGAGGAUAGGUGAACCCAGGCGCUGGUUGUCCUGGGGUAAGCGUGUAGGAGGUUCCCGAUGAAAGUUGGGGGCAAUACUCUGAGACGCGAUGCCGAACCGUUCAAGGUGAAGUCACUAAUUCCAUGCUGCCGAGAAAAGCCCAGCAGUGAGUUGACAUGGCGCCCGUACCCCAAACCGACACAGGUGGGAUGGUAGAGUAUACCAAGGCGAUCGGGAGAACUGUGGUUAAGGAACUCGGCAAAAUACAUCCGUAACUUCGGGAGAAGGAUGACCCCAAUAGGGUGAAGACACUUGCUGUCUGAGCUCGAAGGGGUGGCACAGACCAGGGGAAAGCGACUGUUUACUAAAAACACAGCAGCGUGCGAAGCCGUAAGGCGCGGUAUACGCUGUGACGCCUGCCCGGUGCUGGAAGGUUACGGGGAAGGGUUAGCCGCAAGGCGAAGCUCUGAACCUAAGCCCCAGUAAACGGCGGCCGUAACUAUAACGGUCCUAAGGUAGCGAAAUUCCUUGUCGGGUAAGUUCCGACCUGCACGAAUGGCGUAACGACUUUCCUACUGUCUCAACCACAGACCCGGCGAAAUUGAAGUACGAGUAAAGAUGCUCGUUAGCUGCAGAAGGACGGAAAGACCCCGUGGACCUUUACUACAACUUGAUGUUGGGCUUUGGUAUGUGUUGUGUAGGAUAGGUGGGAGGCUAGGAAGCAUUGGCGCCAGCCAGUGUGGAGCCAACCUUGAAAUACCACCCUGCACAUGCUGGGGCUCUAACCCACGCCCAUUAUCUGGGUGGGGAACAGCGUCAGGCGGGUAGUUUGACUGGGGCGGUCGCCUCCUAAAGAGUAACGGAGGCGCCCAAAGGUUCCCUCAGCCUGGUUGGCAAUCAGGCGUCGAGUGCAAUGGCACAAGGGAGCUUGACUGCGAGACCUACAAGUCGAGCAGGUGCGAAAGCAGGGCAUAGUGAUCCGGCGGUUGCGUGUGGAAGCGCCGUCGCUCAACGGAUAAAAGGUACCCCGGGGAUAACAGGCUCAUCUUCCCCNNNNNNNNNNUAACUUGAUGUUGGGUUUUGGUAUGUGUUGUGUAGGAUAGGUGGGAGACUAGGAAGCAUUAGCGCCAGCUAGUGUGGAGUCAACCUUGAAAUACCACCCUGCUCAUAUUGGAACUCUAACCUAGGCCCGUUAUCCGGGUCGGGGACAGCGUCAGGCGGGUAGUUUGACUGGGGCGGUCGCCUCCUAAAGAGUAACGGAGGCGCGCAAAGGUUCCCUCAGCCUGGUUGGCAAUCAGGCGUCGAGUGCAAUGGCAAAAGGGAGCUUGACUGCGAGACCUACAAGUCAAGCAGGUGCGAAAGCAGGCCAUAGUGAUCCGGCGGUUGCAUGUGGA
rnacentral:rRNA from 1 species